GUGAAUCAUCGAAUCUUUGAACGCAAAUUGCACUCUCUUCGGAGAGUAUGCCUGUUUGAGGGUCAGCCUAAAAAAAAAUCGACAUAGUCGCUGUUUAGUUGUGUCCUUCGUUGGGAGUUGGGUUAUCUUAAACCUUUGGGUUUUAAGCGUCAUAUAAUUUUCUUUACGUUUCCUCGAACGUUUUUAAGAUUUACUUCUUAUAUGUUUAAGGUAUCGCUCUUUAUUUGAUGUGGUCGUUGGAUCGUAUCUUGUU
rnacentral:misc_RNA from 1 species